rnacentral:rRNA from 1 species
GACGAACGCUGGCGGCGUGCUUAACACAUGCAAGUCGAGCGGUAAGGCCCUUUCGGGGGUACACGAGCGGCGAACGGGUGAGUAACACGUGGGUGACCUGCCCUCAGCUCUGGGAUAAGCCUGGGAAACCGGGUCUAAUACUGGAUAUGACUCCAUGACGCAUGUUGUGGGGUGGAAAGCCUUGUGCGGCUGAGGAUGGGCCCGCGGCCUAUCAGCUUGUUGGUGGGGUGAUGGCCUACCAAGGCGACGACGGGUAGCCGGCCUGAGAGGGCGACCGGCCACACUGGGACUGAGACACGGCCCAGACUCCGUACGGGAGGCAGCAGUGGGGAAUCUUGCGCAAGUGGGCGAAAGCCUGACGCAGCGACGCCGCGU